GAACCUGCCUCAAAGAGGGGGACAACAGUUGGAAACGACUGCUAAUACCGCAUAAGCCCACGGGUCGGCAUCGACCAGAGGGAAAAGGAGCAAUCCGCUUUGAGAUGGCCUCGCGUCCGAUUAGCUAGUUGGUGAGGUAACGGCCCACCAAGGCGACGAUCGGUAGCCGGACUGAGAGGUUGAACGGCCACAUUGGGACUGAGACACGGCCCAGACUCCUACGGGAGGCAGCAGUGGGGAAUAUUGCACAAUGGGGGAAACCCUGAUGCAGCGACGCCGCGUGGAGGAAGAAGGUCUUCGGAUUGUAAACUCCUGUUGUUGAGGAAGAUAAUGACGGUACUCAACAAGGAAGUGACGGCUAACUACGUGCCAGCAGCCGCGGUAAAACGUAGGUCACAAGCGUUGUCCGGAAUUACUGGGUGUAAAGGGAGCGCAGGCGGGAAGACAAGUUGGAAGUGAAAUCCAUGGGCUCAACCCAUGAACUGCUUUCAAAACUGUUUUUCUUGAGUAGUGCAGAGGUAGGCGGAAUUCCCGGUGUAGCGGUGGAAUGCGUAGAUAUCGGGAGGAACACCAGUGGCGAAGGCGGCCUACUGGGCACCAACUGACGCUGAGGCUCGAAAGUGUGGGUAGCAAACAGGAUUAGAUACCCUGGUAGUCCACACCGUAAACGAUGAUUACUAGGUGUUGGAGGAUUGACCCCUUCAGUGCCGCAGUUAACACAAUAAGUAAUCCACCUGGGGAGUA
rnacentral:rRNA from 1 species